CUGAGUGUUCCCACCAACUCUCAGGUAAGGAGGAGCUGAAGCAGAAUACAGGGGAGCUGAGCUGCCACACUCUGAGCACACUGAGGUGAGGAGCCUGAUUUGUUUUUUCCCUUCCUUAUCUUCAACCCCACUGUGUUUUCCCCGGCUUGUUUUCCAUCUCUGGGUUUUGUUAUUUCAGUUUGAGCUGGAGGUUACUGCUGGUCUAGUUUCCAGUCUUUUGUUUUUGCAGGUUAGGUUUGACUUCCCCUUCUUAUGCUCCAGUCGUUUUUGGUUCUCUUGUUUUUGUUUUCUUGUUUGGGGGUCUCAAGCUCAGGGUGGCGUCUCUUUCUCCUCUUUCUCGCUUUAGUUUCUGAUCAUUAGGAGGUUGUAACACCAUCCAAAGAGGAAACAACAAGCAAGAGAUGCUGGUGGGAAACUUGGAAACUGUCCUAUGGUCUUAUGGACGCUGCAUCCUUUCCUUAUUAGAAAGUGGAUUUGUACUUUUGAGCUCUGUAUGUG